rnacentral:lncRNA from 1 species
AGGUAAUUGGGUAAUUGUAUUUUACUGAUCACAAGCAGAGAAAAGAAGGGGAAGGGGGGAGGGAAAAAAAAAAGAGAGAGAGAGAGAAAGAGAACGGAAGGGGUGAAGGAGGAGUAUAGCGAGGAAGACUGGCCCCGGGACAUUUGCAAAUCCUAGGGUGCCACUGAAAGGUGGGGAGUCAGACAAAGCCAGAGCGACAGAAAAGCGGAUCUACUCCCAGCAGCAACAACAGGAGCUGUCUGGAGCUGGAUAUAUACAUAGAUGCGUACGUACGUGCACACACAGGAGGAAUUCAAGCUGAAGCUAAUGGGAGGGAGAAAGGGUUUGGGCUGUGCAAAAAGCUAUGCGUUUCAGGCAUGAGACUAAAAACUGAAAGAAGAGGCUGUGCUCCCGGGAAUGUGUCAUCUUGGAAGGGAGGGAGGCAGGAAGGAAGGAAGAAAAGGGGGAAGAUAACUGGCAUGUGGAAGACGAUGGGAUUCUAACUCACUGCUGUGCAGAAGGGAAAUCCAACUUGUAGAUCUGAAAUACACCAGGCAGAGAUUGCAAAUGCGAUCGGAGCUGCGUUGAAGCAGAGAAAGAGAAGAAAAGGGAGGCAGAGGCUGGAGAGCUUUUAUCCUUCUCCCUCUCUCUCCUCAAAGAAGAAAUAGAAGUUUAUCUGUCUUGGUGCUGCUGGAUCUUUAUAGCUGCUGGACAAAAGAUGGAGAGGAAGCUGAAAUGAAAAGCAAAGGGAAACCAGUGCUUGCGAAACUCACGGCUAAGAAGACAAAUCACGCCUCCCCAGGCUUCUUUUGUGCCCCAUCGGGGGAGUUUUAACAUCAGAAAGAUUUUGAGAAGUGUGGGGAGCAAAGGGGAGAGUGGGCGUUAAAAACACCCAUCCUGAGUGUUUAAAAAAUAACGAGGGGAUGGAUUUAUUCUUGACAGCUGGUGGGAACCUUGAAUUUUUCUCUACUCCCUCCCUCCUUCCUUCCAUUUAAUGUGAGAUUAUGAAAAUGCAGAGGAGUUGGAGGGAAGGCAAAAGGAUAUAAUGUGGAGUUUGAAGCGAGGAAGAGAGUGCUGAUGCUGUGGAUUGCUGGCUUCUUGCUGAAAUCAAAAAUCCAAUUGCGCACUGGGUUGUGAUUGGAAAUCUAAUCAGAUCUUUGGGGAGAAGGGAGAGACACUAAAAGUUAUCGUAUUGACAUAUAGAAAUAAAAAUUUAAAUGCAAACGGAGAUUCUAUCCUGAAGGAGUGUGGGGGAUAGGGAAAGAGAAGAAUGGGAAUCCCCAUUCUAAUGUGGAGACACACGGAUUGGAUAAUUGAUAGUGCAGCAAAGAAGGGGGAAGAAGAAAAUUGCCUGGCAAGACCUGGAUCUUAACAGUCACAACAAAAUUGCAUUAAAAGAAUACAGAUGGAGGGCUGCUUAAACAGAAAUACAGCUCUUUCUGCUCUCCAGAGAAAAAACAAAUAGUGAGCAAUGGAGAGCAGAGAAGCUAGAGUGGCAGAAAACCUCAGAAAAAGGGAAGUAGGCAAAGGAUCCACUGUGGAAUGAAAAGUUUCAGAAAGAAGAAAGACCAUUCAUCCUCUGCAAUAAUUUUUCUUUUUUUUUCUUGGUGUUUUAAACCCCUCUUCUCCAGUGAAGCAAACAUCAUUGUUACCACUACAGCAAUUUUAAGCAGAAAAGUUGAACACAACAGAGAAAAUAAAGGACAGAGAAGAAAAAAGCAAAAUUGCUGGAGGGAGAGAGUUCAGCAGUGCUGGGUUGGAUUGGUACCUGUAUGGACUGAAAUUGCUUGGGAAUUGCAGUUGGAUAUCUUUUAUUCUUGUUUCCUUCCUUGUUUUUAAUUUUGGUUUGGUUGCUGAAAUGAAAUAGUUUUCAUAACCCAUCCCCCACCCUGUUUUUUCAUAACCACUCGGAUUUCCAGCUGGAUAGUCUUUGAGGAUAUAGGUGAAUGCUGUGAGGUGGUCAAGUCAACUCUGUGGAACAUUCUCCAAUGGGCUAGUAGGAUGAGAAGAUCCAAGAGUAGUUUGGGAAACAAGGAGAAACAUCACCUCUCAUGACGGUAAACCUACCGAAAAGCCAUUUAAGUUACUGCAUCUGCAUCAAAACACCAGCAGUUCAUAUGGCAUCAUUAUAUAUUGGUUGAAAAAUACUGAGUGAAGCAUUAGGAAUAUGGGAAUUAUCUUGGCUCACAGAGAAAAGACUGUCAUGGGUAUCAAGCACUGAAUUGCUCAGAACUGUCAUCUACACCUCACAGAAACAUCCGUUUGUUGAUAUUUUGUGGCACAAAUCCAGUAGUCAUUCUAAAGAACAGAGACAUAAAAAGUUGUGAAAAGUUGUGUAGGUGAUAAUUUUUUUUUAUUUAUUUUUUGCCAAGCUGUUAAGUUAAAAAAUGUUUGAGAAAUAAUUAAUUGGAUAUUUUUAUAUGAAUAUAAUUAAUAUGUAUGAAUCUACAUGUAUUUAUAUAAGGAAUAAUCAGUACAUAUUUAAAAAUUAAUCUUUUUUUGAGACAAGUAUUUCAUUAACUGUGAAGAAGCAUAUGCGGCUAUCCUUUUUUACUGUUUAAGUGUAAGUCAAUUAAUUAUCAAUUGUCUGUUACCAGCACUUGGAUAGAAAUUCAAGAUGAGGAGUUUGAUAAACUAAAUGGAUGCAGUGAGACAGAUCUUGUGCCAGUGAAGGUAUACUGAUUUGUAUAAGCUGUGGAUCUGGUCUGUAAAUUUUACUUUUGAUAGCAGAUAGUAUUACAGCACAGUCAUGACUUUCUACAGGCAAUCUUCAUGCUGUAAGAUGGAAGGUCUUCACAAGGCCUCUCCCUGGACAGUUCAUACAAAAGUCUGGGAGAAAGGAAAGAGUGAAUGCCCAAACUAAUCAGUAGUGAUCCCUUUGGAGUCUGUGUCCACCUAUAAAACUUAUGUCCACAGUAUAUAGAGUGAAAUUAAGAGAAAGCUGUAAGUCAGCUAUUAUUCCUUGCAGUUUGAAGGAGAAUUACAGCAAAUCUGUGUCCAAAAUCCUUGAAUCAAUAAUAUGAAAAAAGAAUUUCAAGAAGACUGUAAUAGCCUCAUACCAACUUUGAGGUGUACUGUCUGCUGUGACUGUGUUGUGUGUUCAGCUAUCUCUAAUGAAAUUAUUCCUCUCACUCCCUAGUAUGUUCUUACUUUGCCUUUCAGUAAAAAUUGGGAGAUAAGAAUAGUGAAGUGCAAUUGAAUUUAGUCUAGUGAGUGCCUUUCUCACUCAUAAGUACUGCUUGUUAAAUUUCAUUUUGAAAAAUGAAGCUGUAUUUAGUGUAAAUGUGAGGGAUCCUAGUGAGAAGAAAAGCACCCCAAACCAUUAAGAGGAAAAAAAAAAUCUGCUCUUUUUGCUGCUGUAUAAUUUUAAAGCUAUUUAGCAAUUUGUGCUAUAUUUAAGUAAAAAAAGAUUGCUGACAACUUGGACACCAGACUGAAAGUAAAAUGAAAUUUUUAAAGGAGGAUUUUGUACCCUUUAAGAAGGAAAAUGAAGUUUGCAAGUUCCUAGCAGACCCUUAAUUAAAUUGGAAUGUUGCUAUGCUACCUUAAUACAUUAGGGAGAAACUAUUGAGGCUGUUUGCUGACUGCAGUAUACUGCAGGUUACAUUGUUAAGCUCCUUUGUGGAGCAAAAGCAAGCUCUACCCCCAUAAAUAACUUCAAUGAUUGAUGGUAGAAUACAGCUUUGCUCUCUUGUACUUGUUACCUACAUAGAGGACUUUACAUCCCAGUACUUGCCACCAUCUACAGUCUAAACAGCAGAUAUCAAAUUUUUAUAGUUCUCACCAAAUGAUGGCUACUCUCUUGCAGCAUUUGCCUUCACUUUUAAGAGGAGAGAGAUAAUUAAUAGCUAACUCUUUCCCAAGAAAUCUGUCAUGUCCUAGCUUACUCAAGACAGGUGUCGAGGAUGAGAGAUUUUCUAGUGCAUCCUUCUGCACGUACUGUUAGAUAGAUUGUCAAUAUGCAUAAGUUACUAUUGACUGAAGGUCAUAGAAUGGUGGUCUCCUCACGCUGGAUACCUAGCUUUCUGUCUAAGCUGAAAACAAACGUCUAUUGUAUAUACUGAGCAAAACGGAGAGCUUCAAGAAGCUGCUGUAAGAAUUCCAUAAAAGCAGAUUGUUCUUCCAAGUUAAUCCCACAGCAGUGCUCUGGUGCUGUACUAACACAAAUGCUCCUCUUUAAUAUGAUGCAAGUGAAUGAGUCAAACUGUCUUUCCAAAAAAACAGUUUCCAAAACAGUUGGAAAGUUUACCAUUGUGCAGUAGGUCAAAUUUGAACACAGAUACAUAGUUCCUAUUGUGCCUUCAGUCUGAAUUGAAGAUAGCAGUCUUCACAUGGUAUACUGCAAAAAAGCCUCUAUGUUUCUCUCCAGAAAUUUAAGUGGAGAAUAAGGUAAUUCUGAUAUACUACAUAUGCUGUCUGCCAGAUUAGAAUUUAAAGCUCAGAAGCAAACUUCUAGAUAAAAGUAUUAAUGUAGUAUAAGUAUAGAUACUUCUAGAUAAAAGUACAACUGUAGUAUAAGGGUAAGCCAUUACCAUCUAUUAGUCACUGUAAAGCCUCCUAAAUUCCAUGUACACCAGACAUAACAUAUAAAUGUUGAAGAUAAGGACCUCUCUUGAUUCAUCACAGGCAAUGCUUGCUGUUUUCAGUUCACAGCUACCAUUGCAACUCUGUAUUUUAUGAUGGGAAGGAACAAAAAGAGAUGAAAGGAAAUGACUUGUUAUUUCAAAAAAGAAAAGGCUUUUUUUCAUUCCUG